AUACGUAGGGGGCGAGCGUUGUCCGGAAUGACUGGGCGUAAAGGGCGUGUAGGCGGCGGUGUAAGUCUGGAGUGAAAGUCCCGCAUUCAAUGUGGGAAUUGCUUUGGAUACUGCAGUGCUGGAGUGCGGAAGAGGUAAGUGGAAUUCCCGGUGUAGCGGUGAAAUGCGUAGAGAUCGGGAGGAACACCAGUGGCGAAGGCGGGUAACUGGACUGCAACUGACGCUGAGGCGCGAAAGUGUGGGGAGCAAACAGGAUUAGAUACCCUGGUAGUCCACACUGUAAACGAUGAAUGCUAGGUGUAGGAGGUAUCGACCCCUUCUGUGCCGCAGUAAACACAGUAAGCAUUCCGCCUGGGGAGUACGGUCGCAAGAUUAAAACUCAAAGGAAUUGACGGGG
rnacentral:rRNA from 1 species